AGCGAACGCUGGCGGCAGGCCUAACACAUGCAAGUCGAACGAAGUCUUCGGACUUAGUGGCGGACGGGUGAGUAACACGUGGGAACGUGCCUUUAGGUUCGGAAUAACUCAGGGAACCUUGUGCUAAUACCGAAUGUGCCCUUCGGGGGAAAGAUUUAUCGCCUUUAGAGCGGCCCGCGUCUGAUUAGCUAGUUGGUGGGGUAAUGGCCCACCAAGGCUACGAUCAGUAGCUGGUCUGAGAGGAUGACCAGCCACAUUGGGACUGAGACACGGCCCAAACUCCUGCGGGAGGCAGCAGUGGGGAAUCUUGCGCAAUGGGCGAAAGCCUGACGCAGCCAUGCCGCGUGGAUGAUGAAGGUCUUAGGAUUGUAAAAUCCUUUCACCGGUGAAGAUAAUGACUGUAGCCGGAGAAGAAGCCCCGGCUAACUUCGUGCCAGCAGCCGCGGUAACAC
rnacentral:rRNA from 1 species